GCUGUGAUGGCCGAGUGGUUAAGGCGUUGGACUCGAAAUCCAAUGGGAUCUCCCACGCAGGUUCAAGUCCUGCUCACAGCG
rnacentral:tRNA from 2 species